AAAUUGAAGAGUUUGAUCAUGGCUCAGAUUGAACGCUGGCGGCAGGCCUAACACAUGCAAGUCGAACGGUAACAGGAAGCAGCUUGCUGUUUCGCUGACGAGUGGCGGACGGGUGAGUAAUGUCUGGGAAACUGCCUGAUGGAGGGGGAUAACUACUGGAAACGGUAGCUAAUACCGCAUAACGUCGCAAGACCAAAGAGGGGGACCUUCGGGCCUCUUGCCAUCGGAUGUGCCCAGAUGGGAUUAGCUUGUUGGUGGGGUAACGGCUCACC
rnacentral:rRNA from 2 species